rnacentral:misc_RNA from 1 species
UUGUUCAUGAAAACAACACAUAUUAAUCGUGUUUUAUAAAAACGCAUUUCCGUGUUGUUAAAAAACGGUUUCCCGUGUUGUAAAAAAACGGCUUUCCGUGUUGUUACAACACGUUUUAGGCGUUUUCCUCUUUGUCGCCCGAUUCGACACAUAUCAUGGCGUGUUGCUGUUGUGCAUAUCCGCACACUUGAAAUGCGUUGUUGGCUUGCGAGUAAAUUCACUCGCAAGAAUGGCGAAAAAUACAACAAAAUAUUUUUUUUUUACCGAGAAUUACUGGAUGCGUCUCGUUCGUGAACCUCGGAUAUCAAAGUUCGAAGAUUUGGAAACGAAUUAUUUCUGAGAAAAAUUCGUAUACAUCGAGGGGGGAUUCGAUCGACCUACCUACCUAACACGCUCUAACUUAACGGACGCACGCUACCCACUACACUAAUUCGCUCAUGAGGUAAUGUUGUCAAAAAGUCCGUUAUACGAAACGCAAACAUUGUUUACGUUUGUAAGUGUGAGCUAACCUCGUCUUCGUCCUUUGUCCAGCCAGACUCUUUCUUCUUUUUCUUUUUGUUUGUAGUUGGCUCGAGUCUGCGCUCCUAUAGCGUUAAGACCAUACGGCCAUGUGAUGAAAACUUGCUUCUCGUUUUCGUGAUUAUUCGGUUCGAUUCGGUCGGCGAAAAGACGCAUACGUUUAAUUCACUUAUUAUUUGUGCCACUCAGCGAGCAUAAAAAUGGAAAAAACGAUUUAUUGCAAAAACGAAGAGCGAUGCAAAAAAAUUAAAUUUUGCAAAGUGAACGAAAAAAUGAGUGAUUCCGAAUGUGUCAUCCAAAAAAUCCGCGAAGCUUGUGAAAACGACUUGCUUCUGAAAAAGAAAAUCGAAAAUCAAGCCAUCGUGUUACAGAAGCUGAUUCAAAAUCAAAACAUUUUAUGUGACAUCGAAGCAGAGGAAGAAAUAAUCGAUGAAUUGGAAAUAACCUGCAUUGUUCCGUUAGGCGAAAGUCUUCUAUCGUGUUCAACGAUCUACGCUAUCGAUCAAGACGGCUCUCUCAUUGAAACCCAAGAAAAAAUAAGUGAAUGUGUGGAGGAGAAAGAAAAGGAAAACCAAUCAAUCAACAGACAAUUUAAAAAACUGAAAACAAAUGACUUCACUGAAAAAAGAAGCAUAAUUUCAAGCUUCGUUGGAACGCCAACAUCAUUGCCAGAACUGACCCCGGAGUUGGUUCAAAAAGUGAACAACGGAGGAAUGUUACUUGCUCAAAAGUCAUUAACGUAUUUUUGGGCAACUGAUCUUUUGCAUCGCACUAAUGGCAUGCUGAGUAAAAAUGAUUAUUUCAACUACGCAAAAGCCAUUGUUAGUGCUUAUCCAGAGCUCAGCGGCGGAGACCAUGGAUGUGGGAUUGUACGACAUCAGUCAAGUACAAAUGUGCGGAAUCGACGUGCUAAUUCAGAACGAUCUGUAAUGAAAUUUGGCGAAGACAAAUUGAAAAUCGGUCAAAAUAUUCCAACUGUUUUACGAUUCAUAAAGAGCGUCCUGAUGUACAUGGAGUAGAUGCGUUAAAAGAGCUCGAAAGAAAUAUGAAUUCCGCGGUGACACACCGCACGUAUAUACGUCUAUUGCUCAAAGAGUCUGUGAAUUUACGGAAGAAAUGGAUAAAAAUAUUUACACAAAUAUAUUGGAUAUCAUAAAACGGCAAUUUCGUUUAGUGCGCGGAUGUGAGAGGAGUCAAAUGUUAUGUACUUGGAAAGCAGCACAAUUAUCUCUUGCGACAAAGAAAACUCGAUCUCUGAAGUAGCUUCCCGUUCUCGUUGUUGUCAACGACCAAAAAAUCCCCAACGCUUUUAGGGGAAAUCCUCGUUAGGGGAAAAAUAGACGGAAAAAAUUGGUUCAAGCUCUCGAUAAGAGUUGCUAACGACCAAGUAAGAGAUACAAAUGUUUUGGAGAAGUCCGCGAAGGAGCGUGGCUGAAAAAGAGGAGGAGAACACGCGAGAGAAACGACUCCAGGGCGAGGGUGCGUCCUGACACUUUCCAUUCGAGGCUCAUGAGGCAGAAGGGCUUACGGACGACUUUCUUACGCCGCUGUACGUCGUUUUAUGUUAAGGAGGAAAAAGAUGCGGUUCCUGGGUCGGUGCAACGGUUUGCACGCACGAGUGGCAGAGGGACGUGGCGCGCUGUUGGCGGAGGCAAAAAAAGCUUGUGGGAGGCUCGACGGAGCACCUAUUUCCGAGAGUACAGCGGCAGGGCCUCCGCUCGAGUUUUUUCCUACCGCUGGUUUGUAUAAAACUAGAAAGGGCCGCGAGGAGAGCAGGCUCGUAGGCCGUUGGCACUCUCUAGCUACUGCGUCGCUAUUAUUACAAGUAUAAAGCCACUUCCGGGUACAGUAACGUUGAAACCGAGGACACAAGAGUUCCGGGAGCAAAGUAUACUCGUGAGUGGGCGAAUCGCGCGGGGGAGGAGACAAAGGAGGGCGGCUGCAACGGUAAAAGCAUGACUCUCGCAACUGAAAAGUUGAAACGGCGAGGGUGAGAUAAAAAAAGCGAGGAUUAAAUAGAAACCGGAUUUUCGGCGUGUACACACGUAUAACUCUUCCACAUUCAGAUGGGGCUCAGCCCGAUUAUUUUAUCCAAUUCAAAUUGACUGGUGACCGAACAUCGAACAGUUUCAAAUGUGCAAACGUAAAAACCCAUAGCUAAGCUCUCGAAAUAAAGCUACAGAAAAAUGUUAA